rnacentral:rRNA from 1 species
GAUUUAACUGAAGAGUUUGAUCCUGGCUCAGAGUGAACGCUGGCGGCAGGCCUAACACAUGCAAGUCGAGCGGCAGCGCGGGGGCAACUCUGGCGGCGAGCGGCGGACGGGUGAGGAAUGCAUCGGAAUCUGCCCUAUUGUGGGGGAUAACCUAGGGAAACUUAGGCUAAUACCGCAUACGCCCUGAGGGGGAAAGCGGGGGACCGAGAGGCCUCGCGCGGUAGGAUGAGCCGAUGCCGGAUUAGCUAGUUGGUGGGGUAAUGGCUCACCAAGGCGACG